GAGUUUGAUCCUGGCUCAGGACGAACGCUGGCGGCGUGCUUAACACAUGCAAGUUGAACGAAGUUUUCAUUUCGGUGAAAACUUAGUAGCGAACGGGUGAGUAACGCGUAGGCAACCUACCUCUAAGAUGGGGACAACAUUUCGAAAGGAAUGCUAAUACCGAAUGUUGUAAAGACACUGCAUGGUGUUUUUACUAAAGGUGGCUUCGGCUAUCGCUUAGAGAUGGGCCUGCGUCUGAUUAGCUAGUUGGUGACGGUAACGGCGCACCAAGGCAACGAUCAGUAGCCGGUCUGAGAGGAUGAACGGCCACAUUGGGACUGAGACACGGCCCAGACUCCUACGGGAGGCAGCAGUGGGGAAUCUUCCGCAAUGGGCGAAAGCCUGACGGAGCAACGCCGCGUGAACGAGGAAGGUCUUCGGAUCGUAAAGUUCUGUUGUAAGGGACGAAUGGCAGUAGUGCUAAUACCAUUAUUGCAUGACGGUACCUUAUUAGAAAGCCACGGCUAACUACGUGCCAGCAGCCGCGGUAAUACGUAGGCGGCAAGCGUUGUCCGGAAUCAUUGGGCGUAAAGGGAGCGUAGGUGGAUAUUUAAGUGGAUC
rnacentral:rRNA from 1 species